rnacentral:misc_RNA from 1 species
GUACGACGACCGUUGAUCGCCGCGCCGGAAGGAGAAUUUAAGGCCCGCCGCGGAACUCCCGGCCAAAUUCGCCAUUGUCUCGUUCAGGGAGGCGUCAUUGGAGGCUGCAAUGGCUGACCGCUUGCAACACAUCCACGUAAGUCCCGACGACCAUAUAGGCACACCCGGCCUCGAAGAGGCCGCCUACGUUGCCGGCUGGGCAUUGAGCUGCGCUGCGGUGUUGGGCGUCGUUCUGUUGGUUUGGCAACUCAAUAUCUGACCCGUUUGGACAUCGGGGGCCUGAACCGAUCUGGCGUCUCGCGCCGAAG